UAAGCGGAGGAAAAGAAACUAACAAGGAUUCCCCUAGUAACUGCGAGUGAAGCGGGAAAAGCUCAAAUUUAAAAUCUGGUGGUCUUUGGCCAUNCGAGUUGUAAUCUAGAGAAGCGUCUUCCGCGCUGGACCGUGCACAAGUCUCCUGGAACGGAGCGUCGUAGAGGGUGAGAAUCCCGUCUUUGGCAUGGACACACCAGGGCUUUUGUGAUGCGCUCUCGAAGAGUCGAGUUGUUUGGGAAUGCAGCUCAAAAUGGGUGGUGAACUCCAUCUAAAGCUAAAUAUUGGCGAGAGACCGAUAGCGAACAAGUACCGUGAGGGAAAGAUGAAAAGCACUUUGGAAAGAGAGUGAAACAGUACGUGAAAUUGUUGAAAUGGAAACGCUUGAAGUCAGUCGCGUCGACCGAGACUCAGCCUCGCCUCGGCUUGGUGUACUUCUCGGCCCGACGGGUCAGCAUCAAUUUCGCCUCUUGGAUAAUGGCGAGGGAAACGUGACACCUUUACGGUGUGUUAUAGUCUCUCGUCGCAUGCAAGGGUCGGGAUUGAGGAACUCAGCACGCGCCUUUGGGCGUCGGGGCUUUGCCUACGAUACGUGCUUAGGAUGUUGGCGUAAUGGCUUUAAACGACC
rnacentral:rRNA from 1 species